AUGAGAGAGAACAGUGGUUGAACUCGGAGGAUUUAGCUUGGAUCAUCGAUUCUGAAUCGUACGAGCCCUAAUUUGUCUCCAGUGGCUUUGAUGUCUUCUAGCACUUUGGCCUUCCACUCUCUUGAUUAAAUUUAUAGCAUCUAAAGUGAUGAAUUGGUUGGACUUGGUAGACACGCACGCCCACAUCAAAAGUUGCUACAGCCAGCUCUGAAGUUCGCCAGGCAAGUCAUGCAGAGACCCGGCAAGGCUGAAGACUACACAGCUAAAGCCUUCUGUCUUUUCUUUUUUUUCUUUUUUUUUGGAAAAAAAAGUUAAAAGUGUGAAGUUGAAGUGCAGUCUCUAUAAUGAAGGGCUAGGUGUUUAGUUGACAGUGAGUUUAAACAAAAAAGAUAUCUAUAAAAUGCAGAUUCUCUGUAGAACAGGUUUUUAUGAAAAAACGGAGGAAACUCGAAUCUUGUUUUCU